rnacentral:misc_RNA from 1 species
GAUGAAGAACGUAGCGAAAUGCGAUAAGUAAUGUGAAUUGCAGAGUUCAGUGAAUCAUCGAAUCUUUGAACGCACAUUGCGCCCGCCAGCAUUCUGGCGGGCAUGCCUGUUCGAGCGUCAUUUCAACCCUCAAGCUCUGCUUGGUGUUGGGGCCCUACGGUUGACGUAGGCCCUUAAAGGUAGUGGCGGACCCUCUCGGAGCCUCCUUUGCGUAGUAACUAACGUCUCGCAUUGGGAUUCGGAGGGACUCUUGCCGUAAAACCCCCAAAUUUUCUAAUGGUUGACCUCGGAUCAGGUAGGAAUACCCGCUGAACUUAAGCAUAUCAAUAAGCGGAGGA